rnacentral:tRNA from 1 species
GGGGGAUUAGCUCAGUGGUUAGAGCAGGGCACUCAUAAUGCCUUGGCCGGGAGUUCAAAUCUCUCAUCCCCUACCA